rnacentral:rRNA from 1 species
GAAUUCGAUUAGAGUUUGAUCAUGGCUCAGAACGUACGCUGGCGGCACGCCUAACACAUGCAAGUCGAACGAAGUAGCAAUACUUAGUGGCAGACGGGUGAGGAACAUGUGGGUAUCUGCCCUUUGGCCUGGAAUAACACGAGGAAACUUGUGCUAAUACUGGAUAAGUCUUUACGGAGAAAGCUUUAUGCACCAUUGGAUGAGCCCGCACUUGAUUAGUUUGUUGGUGGGGUAAUGGCCUACCAAGACUGUGAUCAAUAGCUGAUUUGAGAGGAUGAUCAGCCACAUUGGGACUGAGACACGGCCCAAACUCCUACGGGAGGCAGCAGUGGGGAAUCUUGCACAAUGGAGGAAACUCUGAUGCAGCGAUGCCGCGUGAGUGAAGAAGGCCCUUGGGUUGUAAAGCUCUUUCGUCGGGGAAGAAAAUGACUGUACCCGAAUAAGAAGGUCCGGCUAACUUCGUGCCAGCAGCCGCGGUAAUACGAAGGGACCUAGCGUAGUUCGGAAUUACUGGGCUUAAAGAGUUCGUAGGUGGUUGAAAAAGUUGGUGGUGAAAUCCCAGAGCUUAACUCUGGAACUGCCAUCAAAACUUUUCAGCUAGAGUUUGAUAGAGGAAAGCAGAAUUUCUAGUGUAGAGGUGAAAUUCGUAGAUAUUAGAAAGAAUACCAAUUGCGAAGGCAGCUUUCUGGAUCAUUACUGACACUGAGGAACGAAAGCAUGGGUAGCGAAGAGGAUUAGAUACCCUCGUAGUCCAUGCCGUAAACGAUGUGUGUUAGACGUUGGAAAUUUAUUUUCAGUGUCGCAGCGAAAGCGAUAAACACACCGCCUGGGGAGUACGACCGCAAGGUUAAAACUCAAAUGAAUUGACGGGGACCCGCACAAGUAGUGGAGCAUGUGGUUUAAUUCGAAGAUACGCGCAGAACCUUACCAACACUUGACAUGUUCGUCGCGACUUUAAGAGAUUAAAGUUUUCGGUUCGGCCGGACGAAACACAGGUGCUGCAUGGCUGUCGUCAGCUCGUGUCGUGAGAUGUUGGGUUAAGUCCCGCAACGAGCGCAACCCUCACUUUUAGUUGCCAUCAUUUAGUUGGGCACUCUGAAAGAACUGCCAGUGAUAAGCUGGAGGAAGGUGGGGAUGACGUCAAGUCCUCAUGGCCCUUACGUGUUGGGCUACACACGUGCUACAAUGGUAUUUACAACAGGAAGCAAGACGGCGACGUUAAGCAAAUCCUUAAAAAAUACCUCAGUUCGGAUUGCACUCUGCAACUCGAGUGCAUGAAGCUGGAAUUACUAGUAAUCGUGGAUCAGCGUGCCACGGUGAAUGCGUUCCCNGGGUCUUGUACACACCGCCCGUAAU